rnacentral:rRNA from 1 species
UACGUAGGGGGCUAGCGUUGUCCGGAAUCAUUGGGCGUAAAGAGCGCGUAGGCGGCCAGAUAAGUCCGGUGUAAAAGUCACAGGCUCAACCUGUGAAUGCCGCUGGAAACUGUCUGGCUUGAGUCCGGGAGGGGCGAGUGGAAUUCCUGGUGUAGCGGUGAAAUGCGCAGAUAUCAGGAGGAACACCAAUGGCGAAGGCAGCUCGCUGGAACGGUACUGACGCUGAGGCACGAAAGCGUGGGGAGCGAACAGG